UGGAAGGGGAAGUAGCCGCCCCCGCCGCGGCAGAGGAGGCCGAGAUCGAGUGAAGGUGCGGGUACGGGCGGCGGCACUGCCGCCGCUGCCGCAUCGUAGCCGGAGGACUCCAAGGUGCUGCUCUGACUACUGGGGCUGCCGACGGCGACGGGACUGGGGCUGCUGCAGGCGUCCGCGUAGAGGAAGUUGGUCUUGGCCUUGGGCCCGCGGAACUCGCGGGCGGCGGCGUCGUAAGCCCUGGCCGCCUCCUCGGCGGUGUCGAAGGUCCCGAGCCAGACCCGGCUCUUCUUGCCGGGAUCGCGUAUCUCCGCCGCG
rnacentral:lncRNA from 1 species